UACGGAGGGGUGCAAGCGUUAAUCGGAAUUACAUGGGGCGUAAAGCGCGCGUAGGCGGCUUGAUAAGUCGAUUGUGAAAUCCCCGGGCUCAACCUGGGAAUUGCAGGUCGAGACUGUCAGACUAGAGUGUGGGAGAGGGUGGUGGAAUUCCCGGUGUAGCGGUGAAAUGCGUAGAUAUCGGAGGAACAUCAGUGGCGAAGGCGACCGCCUGGCCCAAGCACUGACGCUGAGGUGCGAAAGCGUGGGUAGCAAACGG
rnacentral:rRNA from 1 species